GCUGGGCGUGGUGGCGCAUGCCUGUAAUUCCAGCUACAUGGGAAGCUGAGGCAGGAGAAUCGCUUGAACCCGGGAGGCAGAGGUUGCAGUGAGCCGAGAUCAUACCAUUGCACUCCAGCCUGGGUGACAGAGCGAGACUCUGUCUCAA
ensembl:misc_RNA Metazoa_SRP Metazoan signal recognition particle RNA